CACGUAGGGUGCGAGCGUUGUCCGAAAUUAUUGGGCGUAAAGAGCUCGUAGGCGGUGUGUCACGUCGGCCGUGAAAACCUGCAGCUUAACUGUGGGCGUGCGGUCGAUACGGGCAUCACUGGAGUUCGGCAGGGGAGACUGGAAUUCCUGGUGUAGCGGUGAAAUGCGCAGAUAUCAGGAGGAACACCGGUGGCGAAGGCGGGUCUCUGGGCCGAUACUGACGCUGAGGAGCGAAAGCGUGGGGAGCAAACAGG
rnacentral:rRNA from 1 species